rnacentral:rRNA from 1 species
UACGUAGGGUCCAAGCGUUAUCCGGAAUCACUGGGCGUAGAGCGUGCGUAGGUGGCGUGUUAAGUGUGAUGUUAAAUCGUGUGGCUCAACCAUAUCGAUGUGUCGCAUACUGGCAUGCUAGAGGACAGCAGAGGCAAGUGGAAUUUGUAGUGUAGCAGUGAAAUGCGUAGAUAUUACAAGGAACACCAAUGGCGAAGGCAGCUUGCUGGGCUACUCCUGACACUGAGGUACGAAAGCGUGGGGAGCGAACAGG